CCUACGGGAGGCAGCAGUGAGGAAUAUUGGUCAAUGGACGAGAGUCUGAACCAGCACAGUAGCUUGCAUUCUUCCUUCCCUCUUUUUUUUCCCCUUCUUUUCUCUUGUAAUAAAAUGUUCCACGUGUGGGAUUUUGUAUGUACCAUAUGAAUAAGGAUCGGCUAACUCCGUGCCAGCAGCCGCGGUAAUACGGAGGAUCCGAGCGUUAUCCGGAUUUAUUGGGUUUAAAGGGAGCGUAGGUGGAUUGUUAAGUCAGUUGUGAAAGUUUGCGGCUCAACCGUAAAAUUGCAGUUGAAACUGGCAGUCUUGAGUACAGUAGAGGUGGGCGGAAUUCGUGGUGUAGCGGUGAAAUGCUUAGAUAUCACGAAGAACUCCGAUUGCGAAGGCAGUUCACUGGACUGCAACUGACACUGAGGCUCGAAAGUGUGGGUAUCAAACAGGAUUAGAGACCAAUGUAGUC
rnacentral:rRNA from 1 species